rnacentral:rRNA from 1 species
AACGAACGCUGGCGGCAUGCCUAACACAUGCAAGUCGAACGAGACCUUCGGGUCUAGUGGCGCACGGGUGCGUAACGCGUGGGAACCUGCCCUUAGGUUCGGAAUAACUCCCCGAAAGGGGUGCUAAUACCAGAUAAUGUCUUCGGACCAAAGAUUUAUCGCCUUUGGAUGGGCCCGCGUUGGAUUAGCUAGUUGGUAGGGUAAAAGCCUACCAAGGCGACGAUCCAUAGCUGGUCUGAGAGGAUGAUCAGCCACACUGGGACUGAGACACGGCCCAGACUCCUACGGGAGGCAGCAGUGGGGAAUAUAGGACAAUGGGCGAAAGCCUGAUCCAGCAAUGCCGCGUGAGUGAUGAAGGCCUUAGGGUUGUAAAGCUCUUUUACCCGGGAUGAUAAUGACGGUACCGGGAGAAUAAGCUCCGGCUAACUCCGUG